CCUACGGGAGGCAGCAGUGAGGAAUAUUGGUCAAUGGACGAGAGUCUGAACCAGCCAAGUAGCGUGAAGGAUGACUGCCCUAUGGGUUGUAAACUUCUUUUAUAUGGGAAUAAAAUGUUCCACGUGUGGGAUUUUGUAUGUACCAUAUGAAUAAGGAUCGGCUAACUCCGUGCCAGCAGCCGCGGUAAUACGGAGGAUCCGAGCGUUAUCCGGAUUUAUUGGGUUUAAAGGGAGCGUAGGUGGAUUUUUAAGUUAGUUGUGAAAGUUUGCGGCUCAACCGUAAAAUUGCAGUUGAAACUGGCAGUCUUGAGGACAGUAGAGGUGGGCGGAAUGCGUGGUGUAGCGGUGAAAUGCUUAGAUAUCACGAAGAACUCCGAUUGCGAAGGCAGUUCACUGGACUGCAACUGACACUGAGGCUCGAAAGUGUGGGUAUCAAACAGGAUUAGAUACCCUUGUAGUC
rnacentral:rRNA from 1 species